rnacentral:rRNA from 1 species
ACGCUCGACACCUACGAGAGGCAGCAGUGGGGAAUAUUGCACAAUGGGGGAAACCCUGAUGNNGCGCCGCGNGGNGGAAGAAGGUACGUUCGUGUNUUAAUACCUCUUGUUGGGUAAAGGAAAGGAGUGUCCGAACCAAGAAGUAGNGCGACUACUGNCGACAGCCGCGGUAAUCUGAGCGGGCUGGCAAGGC